AGGCGGAGUGAGGUGAUAGUGGGACAGACGGUGGACGGGUGAUUACAAACAUGCAAAUAAUCACGGGUGUGCAGAAUGCUGGACACUUGAGGGGACAUCGCUGGAGGAUCAUACUCUGCAGGGAUAGAUUCCUCUGAAAACUUGUUAAUCUCCUGAAGGGGCUUUAAAGAACCAGGGGAAAAGGAGGUGUUGCCUUUACAUACACGGAAUAAACAGUACAAUAACAAUAGCUAUUAUCAAGCCUUCAUUUGCAGAUGCUGUAGGCCACAUAGACAACUACCAAACCUGAGAGAGAGAGCCCUUUCUAUGAAAUGGGAAAAAGAGCAUCUGACUCAUAAAGUUACAAAGACUUCAAUGAGAUAAGGU